AGUGAAGUCAUCUUAACAUGGAAUGGGAAUUAAAUCCUAACAACAAUCAUGUGAGCCUGGGGAGGAUCCUUCCCCACGUGAGCCUUCAGGGGAGACUUCAGCCUUGGCCAUCUUCUACAUCUAGAUUCCUGACCAAGAGAAGCUGUUUGGAAUAGUUCACCAGUGAAGUCAUCUCAACCAGCACAGGGCCUUGACUCCUAACAACAAUCACACGAACUUGGAAGAGGAGCCUUCCCCACCUGAACCUUCACUUGAGACCUCGUCCUUGGCCAUCCUCUACAUCUGGAUUCAUGAUACAGAGAAACUUGAGUAAUGAUGACAAUAGCAGUCCAGUGUGCAUGGAUGCUGACGUGGAUGCUGUCUCCCAUUCUUACCACUGGAUGGGAAGAAAUGAUAGAUGCAAUCCAGCCAUUGUGUUCUCGACUCUCAGUUCCAUCUUCUCAACUGACAUUGUCUUCCAAAGUCCGUGCCACACCACAGCCUGGAACAUCUCCCAAAGUGGUAUCUUGAUGCAAUGGUAGAGCUCAUGUCACAGUAUUGUAUGUCUCAGGUUUGAAUAACUCACCAGUGAAGUCAUCUUGACCUGGACAGAAAUUGAAUCCUCCCGAGAAUCCCAGGAGCUGGACCAUGAUCAUGGACUGCAUUCUCCAUACCAUGUUCAUAUCUUCAGUGGGAAAACAAACUCCUGAGUCCUGGAGACCUAGAAUGAGAGACACAGCUGACCUUGACCGUAUUUCUCACUUCUGAGAAGAUUGUAGCAGUAAUUCAGGUCUUUGUGGAAUCUCCACACUGCCUUCCACAAUGGUUGAACUAAUUUGGACGUCCACCAACGGUGUGUCAGAGAGGUUAAUCCUAAGAACAGUUACAUGAGCUUGGAAGGAGACCCUUCCCCAGCUGAGCCUUAGCCUGGACCAUCACCUACAUCUGGACUGAAGACCUAGAGAAACAACUCUAUCAGGAAUCACUUGGGACUGUGCAUUCUGUUGACACUCACUUUGUGGAAUUAAGUUGCCCACUGCCAACCCUAAAGCCACCAAGGUAGCAGAUGAGGUCUUGUUCUUUUGGCCAGGCUGGAGUGCAGUGGUACAGUCGUGACUCACUGCAGCUUCAAACACCUGGGUUCCAGCAUUCAUCCCACUUCAGCCUCCCGUGUAGCCGGGACUACAGGUACAA
rnacentral:lncRNA from 1 species